CAGUAGCCGCGGUAACACGAAGGGGGCUAGCGUUGCUCGGAAUGACUGGGCGUAAAGGGCGCGUAGGCGGAUGAUUUAGUUAGGUGUGAAAUUCCUGGGCUUAACCUGGGGACUGCAUUUGAUACGUAUGGACUUGAGUGGAGAAGAGGGUCGUGGAAUUUCCAGUGUAGAGGUGAAAUUCGUAGAUAUUGGAAAGAACACCGGUGGCGAAGGCGGCGACCUGGUCUUUAACUGACGCUGAGGCGCGAAAGCGUGGGGAGCGAACAGGAUUAGAUACCCCAGUAGUCCCUGUCUCUUAUAC
rnacentral:rRNA from 1 species